CCCUUAGAUGUUCUGGGCCGCACGCGCGCUACACUGUUCGACGCAGCGAGUCUUAACCUUGACCGAAAGGUUUGGGUAAUCUUCAGCAAAGUCGAACGUGAUGGGGAUCGAUCAUUGCAAUUAUUGAUCGUGAACGAGGAAUUCCUAGUAAGCACAAGUCAUCAGCUUGUGUUGAUUACGUCCCUGCCCUUUGUACACACCGCCCGUCGCUCCUACCGAUUGAAUGUUCCGGUGAGCUCUUCGGACUGCGCGGUCUGCAGUUUCUGCGUUCCGUGCGGAAAGUUGCGCAAACCUUAACAUUUAGAGGAAGGAGAAGUCGUAACA
rnacentral:rRNA from 1 species